UACAGAGGGGGCAAGCGUUGUUCGGAAUUAUUGGGCGUAAAGGGCUCGUAGGCGGUUUGUCGCGUCGGGAGUGAAAACCUCGGGCUUAACUCGGGGCUUGCUUUCGAUACGGGCAGACUAGAGGUAUGCAGGGGAGAACGGAAUUCCUGGUGUAGCGGUGAAAUGCGCAGAUAUCAGGAGGAACACCGAUGGCGAAGGCAGGUCUCUGGGCAUUAACUGACGCUGAGGAGCGAAAGCAUGGGGAGCGAACAGG
rnacentral:rRNA from 1 species